rnacentral:rRNA from 1 species
UGGGGAAUAUUGGACAAUGGGCGAAAGCCUGAUCCAGCCAUGCCGCGUGUGUGAAGAAGGUCUUCGGAUUGUAAAGCACUUUAAGUUGGGAGGAAGGGCAGUAAGCGAAUACCUUGCUGUUUUGACGUUACCGACAGAAUAAGCACCGGCUAACUCUGUGCCAGCAGCCGCGGUAAUACAGAGGGUGCAAGCGUUAAUCGGAAUUACUGGGCGUAAAGCGCGCGUAGGUGGUUCGUUAAGUUGAAUGUGAAAGCCCCGGGCUCAACCUGGGAACUGCAUCCAAAACUGGCGAGCUAGAGUAGGGCAGAGGGUGGUGGAAUUUCCUGUGUAGCGGUGAAAUGCGUAGAUAUAGGAAGGAACACCAGUGGCGAAGGCGACCACCUGGGCACAUACUGACACUGAGGUGCGAAAGCGUGGGGAGCAAACAGG